rnacentral:lncRNA from 1 species
AUGGAAUUUUACAAUCAAAGGUGGGUGGUUGGUGGCCCAAACUCAGGAAAGAGAGUCUUGAGAAUUUCUGGGUUAAUUUCAUCUGUGUGUGUAUCCCUCAAUCACCAUUCUUUUUCUAAGGGAACUGUGAUGGCAAGCAAGAAAUGCUGUUGUGGAGCUGUAAGGGACAGAGAAACAGAGUGUCCUGGAGAGAAGAGUCACAGGGAGUUGCUGACUGUCAUUCCAAGUGGGUGCUAGGUGAAGCCAUCUGACCAGGCGAGGCAUGAAAGGGCAUCUGUAAAGAAGGAGGCUCUGGGGGAAGGCCUCUGUGACUGAACGCAGGCAAUGACUGACUCGACUCCUUGGAGCUGGGUGUGGAGUGGAUGUCCAGCACCAUAUCAGAAGAACUGGCAGAGGCAGGACUGGGAGCUGUUGAAUCUGGAACAACAAAAGGACUGGUGGCUGGAUCCUAUUCAGCUGGCUAAAAGUAGGCAAGUCAGGAGCAGGAGGAAGGAGGGAUGGCUGGUGGAACUGGUAGAUGCUGGCAGCAGCUGUUGUGACCAAUAAAGGAUGAUAAAUCAAGCACAGAGGAACCCUCGGGAAGGAGAGAGUCUGUUCAGGCACAGAGCUGGUUUCAUUUUAAAUCUGCAAUCACCAGAGAAGUUCUUUUUAAAAAUUUUUAGGGUACAUUUCAGAAUUGUAAGCUUUGACUAAUUAGUUCCCCUUCUGACUCCCUACGUGGAUGUUUUGUUCCCUUGUCUGGUGAUGAAAGAGACAGACAAAGAUGAGGAGCCCAUGUUGAUAGAGGCCCGGUCAGGUGCUUGCUCUUGGGAACAAAGGUCUAUCUUAGCAAUAGGUGUAAGUAUAUUUUCUCAGGCCAAGUCAGUGACUCCUUAAAGGGGUUUGAGUCUCCUCUGAGCCAUAUGCGAGACCUUGGAAUUGCAGGACAAGCCUACUGGAACUCCAUAGUCAAAGCUGUGGUUUACACAAAUGACCAUCCAAAGCAGCUGUAUUCACUAGGGAUGUCAUAUAUUGACUCACACAUUCAUUCAGAGGUUAAAAUAUUCCACCCCCACCCAGAAAACAGAAACUGAAGCAGAGGUGAUCAGGCUUCUUUUCUGUCCUUGACUUGGGACAAGAUGACUCCCAGGCAAACAGAAAAACCCCGGAUGGCCUUACUGUAAUUCAGAAGUCCAUAUGGUUUCCUUUCAUUCUCCUUUAGAGCUGGUGAUGAGGGGUGUCUUUGUUCAGUCCAUAUCCCAGAAGCUGAAUAAGGACCUCAAAAGUCAGGCAUAGGGGUGCACCUCUUGUCUGAGUGUUACCAGGUUAUAGAGUGUGGGAGACCCAUCUCUGUGACACAUUGCAAGGGCCACAUAGGGCUGUAUCUGUCUUUUCUCAUUUCCCAGCCGAACACACUAGAAAGUGUGGGAAAAAUUGAGUCAACUGUAUGCAGGAGUUCAGGAGAAGAAAGGAAAUUUUAAUGAUUCUGGUGGGGCCCAGAGGAG